ensembl:snoRNA
GUCCUUUUGCAGUUUCUAAGCGUGAUGAUUGGGUUUUCAUGCGCAGGCGUGAGACGCGCCGCCCAUAAAUCUUGCUACGACAGCCGCACAUUAUCCGUCUGACG